UUGUGAGGCAGAAAGAUGGGAUCAUCACAUAAUCUUUUCUUUCUUUUCUGUUAAGUGGAAGAAGACUGGGUCUUUGCUGUUGCUUUUGGUGCUCAUCAAAUGCAAUGAACUUUUUUGUGAUGGUGUUGAAGGUUUCUUCCUUUUGUGACAUGUUGAGUGCUUCAAGAACAAAGUGAGUUCAGAGCUGUGAACACUGUGUUGCAUUGAAAUCACUAGAUAUUCUGCUCUGCUUGGUUCUGCCUAAGGAUGGCCAGCUAGUAACUAAUAGUUCUUUCUCCUGGCUGACUUCCAGAGAGCCAGGAAAGAAACAAAGAUCAGCUUUUAUAACUGAAGUCAGCAUUGCUGCAGUGAAGGCGCCCAUACAGCAAAGACUGCCAAAGUGACAAAGGAAAAAGGUUAUACGAAAGAAGAGAAAAAUGUAAUAACAGCAGUUGUUGGACCAUAUCUUACCAGGAAAUCGGAUACAUUACUAAUAAAUUCCUUACUGUAUGCUAUGAAAUGAAUCAGUGAGAUAAGGAAAGAAACAAUGCAGCCAAGGAACAGCAACUGGAUAGCAAUCUUUGCUUAUAAUAAUGUAAGUAGAAUUUAUAAUGGCUCUAUCAAAGCAUUUGGCACAGUUGCUAUAAAACAGGCCUGGCAUUUCCAUCUUUUCCAUCUUCAAUUACUUUGAAGAAGUUUAUAACUUACAAUAAAGCAUUAUUUUCCAGGCUUGAAUGUUUGGGAGAGAAUGAAAAAAAUAAUUAAAUAAUAAGGCAGCCUAAGCCUUAUAAGAAAACGCUUGUCACUGAUCUUCUCAAAGCCUUUCCUUGUGCUGUCUACU